UACAUACAGUAUGAUAAACAUAAACUGCCAGCCCAAAGUUUGGAAAGAGGUUUUUCAUGUUUUUGAAAGCGGUCUCUAACGGGGGCAUUAACACCACACCAUUUUCAACUAAAAACUGAAAACUUUUUUAAUGCGUCUUGGCCGUUCAUUUACAUGACUGUGGUGUUUUGGGGGCCUGAAAACGGAAAUGAAUGAAAAUAGGUUUCAAAGUGCACACUUUUGUAAACAAUGCAGUUGUGUAAACUACAAAAAAUGUGAAUUUGUGAAAAUGGUGAUGUCAUGCACAUGUGUAUUAUGUGUUUAGUCCAAAGCUAUGUGCACAGGCACAUAGUGUUUAGCAUGCAGCAUCUUGGCCAUUUUUGCAAAUCCUUGUUAACGGGAUCGUUUUUGACAAUGUUGUCGUCUAUACGCAAAACUUUUGAAUAAAUAUUGUAAAAUAGUAUUCAUAUAAAAUAACUACUUUCUAUCUUAAUAUAUUUUGAAAGGUAUUUUAUUUCUGUGAUGGCACAGCUGAAUUUUUCAGCAGCCAGUGUCACAUGAUCCUUCAAAAAUCAUUCUAAUAUUUGGUGUUCAGUUAUUAUCACAUAUGGUGUUCAGUUCUGGUUCUUCUUAUAUGCAUAUGUAUGCACCUUUUCUUUCUUUUUUCUUUUUUGUGGAGGAAGCAUACCAUGUUCAUUGUCAAGAUUAAGAAACAUAGUUUUAUCUGUUUUUGAUUUGUUGUAAGAUGUUAAUCCUUUCACAGUUGUUUUCAUUGAAAAGGAUUAACUGCAAUUUUAAAACCUCUGUUUCAUUUGUUAACUUGUGUUGUGUUGGGGUCCACCUGCUAUGCUAAUCCCUCGUAAAAAUGCAUGGUUUAGUACAAGUAGUAGUUGAAAAGAGAGGGAUAAAACCCCUGUGUUAACAGUUUGUAGUCCAUCCUAACAUAUCCAAUACAUGUCAAUAGUAAAACUAGCUUCAGAAAGCCAGGUAUGGUUUUCCAGAUGUUCAAUGUAGUCUGAUCUUUAAAUGUCACCGCAAGACAGCAUUAAUAAGCAGCAUGCUUUAUUUGUUCCAUCAGUGAGGUCAAGCAUUCUGACAGAUCCAAGCUGGAAUGCAAGUGGGUCGGCAACCCCCAGUUCAGGAUCGGAAAUCAUUCCUCUCAUGCCUCAGAGCGGAGUAGUGCUGACGCUGGAACUGAGCAGGCCAGGGGAAUACCCUGUGGGCUUUACCUGUCUCUCUGAGACUACAAACAUUAAUGUUGGCCGUGUGGGUCCAAUAAAAUGUUGCUUACAUACUGAAUCAAAUGUUUAAAACUGAAUCAAGGGCAAAAAUCUGUUUUUCUCCACAGCUGUUCAGAUUAAGUGUCUUUUUAUUAUUAAUUAGCCUUUCUUUCUUCUACAUAUUACUACAUAUUUAUGGCUGAAAAAUAUUUUCUGAGCAGCCUGUGCCACGGCAUCAACAGAGCUCUUUUGUUCUUGAUCAUGAACUUUCAAACCUAAGGACUGUGUGUGACAUUGAACUAGUGAGGACUCAACAAUAUGGCCCAGUAGCCCAGGGCCAGCUUAUGAAACUGUAUGUAGACAUACAGUAUAUACUACAGUUGGUGUGUGUGUGUGUGUGUGUGUGUGUGUGUGUGUGUGUGUGUGUGUGUGAAAAAUAAUGGAAUAGAAAACACUUCUUUCAAAUUGUGAUAAGAUUUCUCAUUGUUACUGCUUUUGAAAUUUUAUUCAAAUAAAUGCAGCUUUGCAGUUAAAAAAAUAUCUUUAUCUAAAAAAAAAAAAAGUGACCAUCCCUAAAAAUUUGAACAGUAAUGUUUACUACUAUUGCCUUAACUUUUGUUAGAUGUUGCUAGAUCAUUUUAGGUUUCAUAAAAUACCCCUCUGUGCUUCUUCAGUCUUGAUUAUCUAGUGUUAUAACAAACCUGAUCUGUGUCUAAUGAGAGCAAUCAAACAUCAGUGGAGACCAAACACUGUUUCCCUGGGGGUCUAGAUAUUUCACAUUGAAUACAGAUCAACCAUUUACAUAUUAUGUUAUGAAUAAAUUAAUGUUUUCAUUCACCAACAGAUGCGAUGUCAGAAACACACAAUCAGAGGCUAAAUUAACAGUCCAGUUAUAACCAUUACAAUAACCAGGGGAGCUCCAAACACAGGACCAAACCAAACACAACAUCCUUUGGUUUGUUACUUGCUAACACAGAUUGGGUUAAAUCACUUUAGUAAGAGAGAAUGUACUCCAUAACAAAAAUAAUUUUUUUUCCCUUCUAUAUGUCAUUUUUUUCAGUAAUACCAGUAUUAUAAUGUUAGUUUGUGUAUAAUAAUGCAUUGUUUAUUGUGAGAAGAUUUGUAUGUUGUUUAUUGAGUACAUUUACAUAUAUCACUCUGUUUAUAUAUGGUACUAUGACAAAGUGAUUUGAAUCAUUUCUGAGCAUGUUAUUUGUUUCUUGGUUUUACAAGGCUGGGUGGGGGUGGGGGAUUGUGGAUAGAAAGCUUUUGUCUUUUCUUUGUUUUUUGAUAACCUUUCUAGAUUGUAACUCAUAAUCCAGAUUGCAGAUUAGCAGCUGUUGAUGCAGUGGUCUGAGUAUUAAUCUCCACAACUGGGUGCUCCUAUCAUCUACCUGGAUGAGGCAAGGGUCAAACCGGUCAGAAAGAGAGAGAUCCAAAACAAGCAAGUCCUACUUAUUUAAUUUGUGGCAGCUUGUGAUAACCAGCUUUAUGGGUGGCUGUCACUAUAGGAGGAUAACUCAGGAUUAUUCUUCUUGGCAACAACAAAAUGGGCAAGCAUCAUGCAAAUAAUCCUCAUGGAAUCCUUGAGGAAGAUGAUUGAGGCCUCUGGAAUAACAUCCCGAGGUCUUCCUGUUUUGUGUAAAGGGUCAGUACACCAUCUGUUUGUGAGAUGAAUGUAUAGAAAUGCACUAUUUUUUUUGUGUAUACUUGCAUAUUUGUGUUUACAAACAGUGGACAGGUGGUACAGUUUUUUUUUAGUGCAGUGGUUAGCAAAUGGUUUAGCUUCAGGUUCCAGAUUUUGCUUUAGAUAUAUGUGAGGGUGACCAUAAAUCCUCUUUUUCCUAGGUGUAUCCUGGCCGGGAUUUCUAAAUGAAAGUGUGUGACCCAAACACUGUACCAAGAUUGUGAAAAGUUCCAAAGAAUAAUGAGGACCUAUAACCAAGUUCUCAGGUGUAAACAACAUGUGCUAGAUCUUUUUCCGUCUCAGUGGAGCAGUAGAGUACACGUUCAGUCACUGCUGCCUGCGCCACUUUUGUAACUCUGCUUAUACAACAUGACUCAGACGGCCGUCAGGUGGUAGAGCACAGAGGUCAUGACAGAACACGCUGAGGGGGUGGAAAGCAAACAUACUUUCAAAGCACCAAUGAUGUUAUAGUGCACUCUUAUAGGCACACCAACAGAACACAUUUUGGAUGCCCCCCUCAUCUGAGCCAUCCAUUUCAGGUCUUGGAAUCUCUGCUAAUGAGCUGAUGAGUUGAUUCAGUGACAGCAUGGUGAGUCAGCUCCCCUGAAGAGCGCUGGACUUUCCUAGCAUUGCUGUGAUACCCGAGUGCUUUGCAGAAACAGGCAGCACUUCCCAUCAAGCAGCGAUCAGUCAUUUACCCUCACCUGCAGCUCACUGUUCACACACAGGGGCAAAUUUUCUCUGUCCCUGCCUCGCUGUGCCUCACGCCUCUUUCUCAAUUCACCUCGUGCCACGCUGAGCAGUCCGAACAGUGGACGGAGAGGUGCGUGUGUUAUCAGCCCACUGAGAGAUAAUGCCACACAGGGUCUCAUUGUCUUUCACGUGCACUUGUGAGCGGGGAGAUGUGGAAAGAAGGCUGACCUGCACAUUUAGAGCUAAAUAUUCAGGAAUGACACCAUCCAAGGGUUCAUGAUGACAGAAAAGAUGAUGAGUCUCCCAUAAUGAACAGGUUACAUGAGGUUACAUAAAUAGAACAGGUUACAGGUU